AGCUCUAAUAGCGUAUAUUAAAGUUGUUGCGGUUAAAACGCUCGUAGUUGGAUGUUGGGGCGGCGAGGGGCGCGCCUGGGUUCUAAGAGCCCGGGCGUGCCGGCCGUCUCGUGUUGCCGGCACAGGGGAGGGGCACUUGAGUGGGUCUCUCCGCAACCUGGCCGGCUCGUUUACUUUGAGUAAAUUAGGGUGUUCAAAGCAGGCGCGUAGCGCCGAUGAAUAGUGCAGCAUGGGAUAAUGAAAUAGGACUUCGGUUCUAUUUUGUUGGUUUCUAGGGCCGAAGUAAUGAUCAAUAGGGACAGUUGGGGGCAUUCGUAUUUAAUUGUCAGAGGUGAAAUUCUAGGAUUUGUUAAAGACGAACUAGGGCGAAAGCAUUUGCCAAGGAUGUUUUCAUUAAUCA
rnacentral:rRNA from 1 species